rnacentral:sRNA from 1 species
UCCACCAUAUGAGUCCGUGGGGACAAAUCUCAUUCAAAUCCCCAUGACCACACAGUAGCUUCACGUGUUCAUGAGGUAUAUACCAUGAUAUUCCAGUACUGUACAUGCUGUGUGAAGUUCAAAUCAUGCUAAUUAGCAUAUCUACAGCUUCUCCGGGGGGUGGCUCAGCCUACUGCCAGCCUCUCCUCUUUAUUUAAUUGUACUGUUACGUCAAGACUUGUUCGACCUAAAUAUUUAUUUAUUCUUUUAUAGGAUGAGAUGAUAGAUUCCAUUUUAAUUUCUUGGUAGAGUCCAGUAUUGAUCUUCCCACAGACAGGCACACGGAGGCAGCAGGAUGAAAGUGCUGUAACAUUAUCCCAGGAACUCUGUCCACUCACAGGACUUCACUGUGUUCUCGGCUACUCCUCUGGAAGCUUGCCUUCAGCUGAUCCCAGGGAAUGAUUUCUCUACUGGAAUAAGCUUUGGAACUGAGCUAAAAGCUGGACCAUUUUCCCGGCACCUGAAAAAUAGAAGAAUUCAACACCCGAUAUUUCCUGUUUUCAUUAACAAAAAAGGGACUUGUAACCACAUUUCCAGUUUAUCCAGGGAAGGUGACGCUGGAUGUGUGCACAGGUAGAUGGUUCACAGGGCCUCUCUAGACUUUCUGCUCAGUUUUGCUGUUUUCUGUAUUAACAAUAAAAUAUUUAAA